rnacentral:rRNA from 1 species
GUCUUUUUGAAUUAAAUUUAAAGUCUAACCUGCCCACUGAAAAUUUUAAAUGGCCGCAGUAUUCUAACUGUGCAAAGGUAGCAUAAUCAUUAGUCUUUUAAUUGAAGGCUGGAAUGAAUGGUUGGACGAAAUAUUAACUGUUUCAUUUAAAUUUUUUAUAGAAUUUUAUUUUUUAGUCAAAAAGCUAAAAUAAAUUUAAAAGACGAGAAGACCCUAUAAAUCUUUAUAUUUUGUUUAUUUUAAUUAUAAAGAUUAUUUUUAUUAUAAUAAGUUAAAAUAUUUUAUUGGGGUGAUAUUAAAAUUUAAAAAACUUUUAAUUUUUAAAACCAUUAAUUUAUGAAUAAUUGAUCCAUUAAUAAUGAUUAAAAAUUUAAGUUACUUUAGGGAUAACAGCGUAAUUUUUUUGGAGAGUUCAUAUCGAUAAAAAAGAUUGCGACCUCGAUGUUGGAUUAAGAUAUAAUUUUGGGUGUAGCCGUUCAAAUUUUAAGUCUGUUCGACUUUUAAAUUCUU